rnacentral:misc_RNA from 1 species
AAAUCAAAAAAAAAAAAAAUACACAGUAGAUGGAUGUGCUUUUAACAUAUAAUGAGCAAACUAUGCAAAUCUUACCAAUACUUAGUUUGUAAUAAAAAAAUAUAACCAUAGUGUGAGUCAGUUUGUGUACACCUUGACAAAAUCUACACGUACUUGCUAGCUCCCACCAGCACAGGUAUCGGGUAAAAAUCUUAUAUUUUUGAACGAACCUUAUCGAUUAGUUCUCUUCUUAGGAUUUUCCCAGAAGCUGACUUGGGAACACUGUUUAUGAAUGUCACCUUCUUCAAUCUUUUGAAAGGUG